rnacentral:rRNA from 1 species
UACGGGGGGGGCAAGCGUUGUUCGGAAUUACUGGGCGUAAAGGGCUCGUAGGUGGCCAACUAAGUCAGACGUGAAAUCCCUCGGCUUAACCGGGGAACUGCGUCUGAUACUGGAUGGCUUGAGUUUGGGAGAGGGACGCGGAAUUCCAGGUGUAGCGGUGAAAUGCGUAGAUAUCUGGAGGAACACCGGUGGCGAAGGCGGCGUCCUGGACCAACACUGACACUGAGGAGCGAAAGCCAGGGGAGCGAACGGG